GACUCCCAGUGGGAGUACGCAAGUGCCCACAAGUACAACAUUCGCCUGGCCAACGGGACCAGCUUCGAAAUUACCACGCAUGGCUUUCAAGAGUUCUCAAAGUGCCUACAGCGUGGAGCAACAAAGG